UGGGGAAUUUUGGACAAUGGGCGCAAGCCUGAUCCAGCAAUGCCGCGUGCAGGAAGAAGGCCUUCGGGUUGUAAACUGCUUUUGUACGGAACGAAAAGGCUCUGGUUAAUACCUGGGGCAUAUGACGGUACCGUAAGAAUAAGCACCGGCUAACUACGUGCC
rnacentral:rRNA from 1 species